rnacentral:snoRNA from 1 species
AGCCCAUGUUGCGGGUAUCUUUUAAGUAGAUCCUUAAAUCUCUCCUAAGCUUCAUACAAGGAUUCACCAUCAAAUUGUGUAAAAGUAGUUAUAUCAUUCCUUAUCUU